rnacentral:rRNA from 1 species
AACGCGAAGAACCUUACCAAGGCUUGACAUAUACGAGAACGGGCCAGAAAUGGUCAACUCUUUGGACACUCGUAAACAGGUGGUGCAUGGUUGCCGUCAGCUCGUGUCGUGAGAUGUUGGGUUAAGUCCCGCAACGAGCGCAACCCUCGUUCUAUGUUGCCAGCCCGUAAUGGUGGGACCUCAUGGAAUACUGCCGGGGUCAACUCGGAGGAAGGUGAGGAUGACGUCAAAUCAUCAUGCCCCUUAUGUCUUGGGCUUCCCGCAUGCUACAAUGGCCGGUACAAUGGGCUGCAAUACCGCAAGGUGGAGCGAAUCCCAAAAAGCCGGUCCCAGUUCGGAUUGAGGUUUGCAACUCGACCUCAUGAAGUCGGAGUCGCUAGUAAUCGCAGAUCAGCAACGCUGCGGUGAAUACGUUCCCGGGUCUUGUACACACC